rnacentral:rRNA from 1 species
CGCCUUGCCAGCCCGCUCAGAAACUCAAAGGAAGUUGAGGGGCCCGCACAAGCGGAGGAGCAUGUGGUUUAAUUCGAUGAUACGCGAGGAACCUUACCUGGGCUCGAACGUAAGAUGACUGUAGGUGAAAGCUUACAUCUCUUCGGAGCAUUUUACGAGGUGCUGCAUGGUUGUCGUCAGCUCGUGCCGUGAGGUGUCGGGUUAAGUCCCAUAACGAGCGCAACCCCUACCUUUAGUUGCCAUCAGGUUAAGCUGGGGACUCUAAAGGAACUGCCUACGCAAGUAGUGAGGAAGGCGGGGAUGACGUCAAAUCAGCACGGCCCUUACGUCCAGGGCUACACACGUGCUACAAUGGCCGAUACAGAGGGCAGCUACCUGGUGACAGGAUGCAAAUCUCCAAAGUCGGUCUCAGUUCGGAUCGGAGUCUGCAACCCGACUCCGUGAAGUUGGAUUCGCUAGUAAUCGCGCAUCAGCCAUGGCGCGGUGAAUACGUUCCCGGGCCUU